ACAACGAAGAGUUUGAUCCUGGCUCAGGAUGAACGCUAGCGACAGGCUUAACACAUGCAAGUCGAGGGGCAGCGGGGGCGCGAGCUUGCUUGCGUCCGCCGGCGACCGGCGCACGGGUGAGUAACACGUAUGCAACCUGGCCCGCGGACGGGGAU
rnacentral:rRNA from 1 species